UUACUGCUCUCAGAGCUGCAAAUGAUGGAAUGGACUUCUUGUCGAUAUUUUUCAAUGAAUUGUUGAUUAUGACUGUUAUAUUGUGAAAUUUUUUUUGUUUCUAACCGAUUUUCUUUCAAAAAAUGACAGUUUUUGUCAACGGACGCCUCUUAUCUUCAACAGUGAACCUUGUCUUUGGGAGGUUUACCUGACGCUUUUUCCCGCUCUCUCCCUGUUCCAUCCCCCCCUGCGUGCUUUUGACGGUUAUUUUUUUCCGUCUCCACAAGCUUUCUUCUCUUCACCAUAUCCUGUCCCGAAUACCCUCUGCUGUGGCCGGUUUCCGGUUACUACAAGACUCUUGAGGAUAUUUCAAACCGUUAGUAAAUGAUAAAACAUAGCAGAAUAAAUGCGUGUAUUUUUAUUUGAAAACUGCUUAAAACCUUGGCAUUUUUUGACAUCCCAAAUCAUUGGAGCGAAGCUUUGUUCGAUUUGAUUUGCAUAAGCAUCGUCACAGCUGCAGUGGAGAUGCCUAUUGAUCAAUGGCCCCCCAGCUCCCUUUUGAGUGUGUCAAUCAAUUCGAUGGCGCAAAUAAGCCCAUUCUCACACGAGAACACGCCCCAUUUUUAUUCGUGGAAAUGUUCGAUAAUCGCGUAGUUAAAAAUGAUUCAUCAAGUUAAUCAACCCAAAUAUAAAGGAUUAAAAAUAGAAUUUCCUUGAGGUGAGAUGACAGGUGUGUAACAACUGUUAUAUACUACGUUUACGGUAGAGAGACCACAAGAUGCACAAGGUUGAAGGCGGGUCAAGGACGCACCUCUCCUCAACCCACUCACCUUCCUUAAAUUCCAGACUACCUUGUAUUAGUACACCCCCGCAUCAGGUAUAUAUACAUAAGCCCUUUUGUAUAAAUCAACUCGAGCCUAUUGAAAGAUGGAAGACGACCGGUGGCGAUCUAAAGGUAAAAAAUAAGAUAUCGAUCGGCGCUGGCUGGUGUCCCAAAUACAAUUAUUGAUCUGUCUCAUGAAUUUCAUUUUUCCAAGAAUUUGUUUUCUGUUAUAUAUUUGUUUUGAGAAUGUAUUUUUGUUUUUCCAUGUGUCACACUAUUUUCCAAAAACUGUUGAGAUAGAAAUGGCUAUUCACAUAAGAUAAUAGGUGUAUUUUGUAACUAUACGCUACGACAAGGGUGCGCCAUAUUCUUUCUUCAUCAUCAUCCGCUGACUACAUAUGUCGUCCCUUGUGGUAUUCGGAAUCCGCACCAAAUUUCUUCUUCAUAAACGAUUAGAAAGAAAGAGGUUUGAGUGAGGAGAGAGGAAAGGAGGAAAAGAAACAAUUUUGUUUUUCGCGGACAUAACCGAUACCUGGCAUACUCUAGUACGUACACAAAGGACAGCAUUCAUACACGACAUCAUCCGAACGUGGAAUUUCACUUUAAUCAUUAAUCAAAAAAACGGUUCCGUAACGUCUUUACUUCGAAUUUCGAGGGAUUCAGGGUGAGGGGGAAUUCGGGCAACUAGGUUAUUGUGUAAGAAGAUUCAAAAAAGGUGAUAACAAGAGCAAUCAAGUUUGAAGUCUUCAAAAGAAAAAGAAA